rnacentral:rRNA from 1 species
UACGGAGGAUGCAAGCGUUAUCCGGAAUGAUUGGGCGUAAAGCGUCCGCAGGUGGCUGUGUAAGUCUGCUGUCAAAGAGCAAAGCCUCAACUUUGUAAAGGGCAGGUGGAAACUACACGGCUAGGAGUGCGGUUCGGGGCAGAGGGAAGUUCCUGGAUGUAGCGGUGAAAUGCGCAGAUAUCAAGGAAGAACACCAAUGGCGAAAGCAGCUCUCUGGGACGGUACUGGACGCUGAGACGGCGAAAGACCGUGGGGAGCGAACAGGA